rnacentral:lncRNA from 1 species
CCAAUCUUUGUUACCUUCAAAACAAUUUAGGUUUAACUAUAAAAAUUAAAAAAUUCCUCAUAAUUAAUUCACUCAUUUCUGCUUACAAAUUAAAAUAGGGGACAAGCCCCUUUUCUUUUCUUCAAUUUUUUAUUUAAAUGAGGAAGAAGAUGAUAUGAAAGAAGCGCAAAUGGUGCCGCCGCGUGUGAUUUUAGGAAGGAGAAUCGCCGGGAAAAAGGCGUUUUCCGUUUGUACCGGCAAUGGAAGCGAUUCGGGUCAUGUUGGGAAAUCGAUUCUUAGAAUGACUGGAUUCUGGAGGCAUAAUCUCAACUAUUCUUCUUUUGAUUUUCAUUUCAGAAUUUUGACAGAAAAGAUUGGGACUAAAAUGAUAUAUUUUUUCUUAAAUUAUGCGGGAAAUAAGAAAUAAUUACCGUUUACAAUCAUCUGUGUAAUUAAUUAUACAAAUUUUAAAAAUAAAAUAUUAAAUUGUAAACAAAAUUUCAAAAUUAAUAUGAGCAGAAUAAGGCGA